rnacentral:rRNA from 1 species
UACAGAGGUCUCAAGCGUUUGUUCGGAUUCAUUGGGCGUAAAGGGUGCGUAGGUGGCGCCGUAAGUCGGGUGUGAAAAUUUCGGAGCUUAACUCCGAAACUGCAUUCGAUACUGCGGUGCUUUGAGGACUGGAGAGGAGACUGGAAAUUCAUGGUGUAGCAGUGAAAAUGCGUAGAGAUCAUGAGGAAGACCAGUGGCGAAGGCGGGGUCUCUGGACAGUUCCUGACACUGAGGCACGAAGGCCCAGGGGAGCAAAACGGGG